CACACGUCAUCAGCCCAUACAGCUGUCGUUCCUUAUCUGCUCAGCCGUAGUGAUCAAAAAUCUACACUCAUGUACUUAUCCUCUCCACCAUCCCUAUCUCUAUUAUCCUCCCACGUCAUCUCCUGGAGAAUUCCCUAGCCAUCUCUAUCUUCUAACUCCACGCCACCUCCUUUCUCAAGCAUCACGUUCAAUUUCUAGAAAUUCCCUGCUAUCGCUAGCUUCUAGGACAAACGUUGCUGGCCUCCUAGUUUCCAUACGUCGGCUCCCUGUGGUCUUCCCCGCGUCCGGUCUCAUCCUUAUCCCCCAUCGCCCUUAUCCCCUGGUCUGUGCCGCUCGUACUUGGAGAAAAAUCUCCAGCCGCCUUACCUGCUGCCGCCGCUUCCCAUCCGACAGAUUAUUUGUUUGCAGCCACUGAUCUUCUCCCUCGCUCAGCCGAGUGGUCUUCCACUCCUCCCAGCCGAGCUCUCCCUCUCCACGCAGCUCCCUCGCGGUGCUCCCAUGGCGCGCUUCCUCCAACGCCGGCCGGAGUCCUCUGCUGGCCAUCCCGCUUCCCUCUGUGUAGCGCCCAGCCAUCCCUCCGUCUGUUCGCCGGUGCCAUGGACAGCUCGCAGUCGCUACGCUGCCGGGAUCCUAGUCACAAUUUCUAAGCCGCCAUCGCGCCGUGCCGGUUGUCCGUCUUUGAUCCUCGCUCUGACGUCAUCUUGCCCAUGCAACGCUUGCUUGGUGCUCGCCAAAACGCCUGAAUCAGGACCAUCGUCGUUCUCGCGAUCAUCGAGUUGGCUUAGGUACGUUAAUUAAUCGCGCGAUGCGGAAAACGACCCAAGUCGACUCCAAGCACGGGCUACUCCGCAUGGUGAAGCUGAAGGACGAACACAAGGAUGGAUGACCUGACAAGUGCCAAGACAAAGAAUGGUCAUCAAGUGGACAUCGUCUAACAAACACUAACCUAGUGUUUCUUCCAGGCAAGCCCCGGUGCAUGCAACCCCUUUCCUUGUGUUUUUAAAUACUUUUCGCACACUUAAGUCUAGUGAAAUGUGCAUUAGGUUCAUAGGAAUUGCUCGAAACCCUUUGAUGCAUUGCUUUCCUUGAUAUCCAUACCUUUAUAGAUACUUCUGUGAAGUAUCAAAAUAUGAUUUACAAAAAUGCUUAGCCUUGCUUAGACCUUGUGGAUAGAGGUUGUCCUUAAUUUAACUCGAGAAAGGAUGGCGUCUACCUGCAAGAAUAUUUUCAUUUGGAGCAAUGAUGGGAUCUUACUGCAAAGUUCCCUGUGAUGCUCUUUCAUCCUAAGGAACAGACACAAUCCUAAGGAUGGAAAUACUUAAAUCGAGACUUGGGCUAGGAACAGGUGAUGCUCCGCCCGGGUCAAUUAAGGAUUGGAUGCGUAUGUAGGCCUGUUGAUCAAGGACUAUCUUAUCUAGCCACAUGCCCUGAGAAUGGGACAGGGUAAGCUUGAACCCGGCUAUUCCAUACAUGAAAAGACAAUCGCGCACUGGGCGUGGAGAGAUGGCGAGAGUGGCACGUACCCUCCUGGCAACGGAUCGCCUAAAAGGGGUGGUGUACUCUCGGGUGGCGCGGACCUGUUCAUGCAGUGGAGGAUCCGUGGGAAUAGUAGACAUCAAGGUUUACAAGAAACAUAUGUCGUGUGGUUAGAAAUCCUCAGCUGAGUAAAUCGAUUCGGAUCGCCGUUAUAUCCCCGGAGAGUGGAGACUUGAGCUCCGACCUACAACCUAAGUCAAGAUGUGAACACUAUGGAUAAAAAUGAUGUUGUAUUGAUGAGAUGAUGAAAUUAGACUAGAUGCAAAUAGAGUCUAUUAAAUAUUUAAUCUGGCGUUAAAAUAUUGAAAGUAAGGGCUCACUUUAGUAAGCUAUUUCUGCAAAAGUAUCUAAGUUGAUUCUAGCUAAAGCCUCUCCUUGAUUCCCAAAUCCAGCAUAUCCUUGAGAGUCUUUUCUUUAGUCGGGUAAGUCUUGCUGAGUAAUUCCAUACUCAGGGUUUUAUUCCCUGUUGUUUUUCAGGUUAUAGUUUUUGUGCUGCUGUUGAUGGUGUUAAGUGCCGGUGGGCUCGGCCUUCUUAUAUAAGUAUACCCCGCCUUUAUCUUCUUAUUGAGGAUGGUCACUUGAGCUAGCAUAUAUUUCAAAACUAUAAAUAAUUUAUAACCGUUCAAAGUUUCUUUCUUUGAAUCAAUGUAGUAAUCACUCUGAUCAUGUACGAAGUAAAAAUUUUGUAACUUGUAAAAUUUGGUAAUAAGAUUUCCGCUGCAAAAUAUUGGUGUGUGUGAUUUGUAUUACUUAA